GAAGAAUGAAAAUCGAGAUACAAAAAAUCACGAUGAUGAUCGUAACUUUUAUUUGUUUUUUAUCAACGAUGAUCGUAACUUUUACUUAAGAUGAUCGUAACUGUAUGUUCCAACGACGCCUUAUCUGAUAAUUAUAGCUGUCUGAUAUGCGAAAAAGUGUACAAUAUCAUCUUUUAUCAUAUAUUUAGUACAAAAUACAGCAAUUUUGUAUAUCUAAUAAAGGUUCUUUUUUCCAGUCUGUAUCACCUAACCUGUAUCGCAUACCCCGUAUCGCAUAGCUAAACCUGUAUCGCAUACCCCGUAUCGCAUAGCAAAAUCCGUAUCGCAUACCUGGCGUGACAUCAUAAUUAAAAUGACGUCAACGUUUGAACUAUGACGUACAGUUGCUGCAUUUUCAGGCUUAGGGAAAAAAACGAUUUCUAUUUAAAAAAAAACGUCCUAGCAUUUCAACUAAAAUCGAUUUUUUUUCCAAAUAAUUAUUACCCAGUAACUUGACGAGCA
rnacentral:lncRNA from 1 species